GCCUCUAUAGCAUAGUGGUUAUUGCGUCGCACUUGUAAUGCGAAGGUCCGGAGUUCAAAUCUCCGUAGGGGCU
rnacentral:tRNA from 1 species